CAAGAACCACUGUGAGGGCUAGAUUUUCUGCGGAAAGAGAAAAAGAAACCAAACCUUAUCUCUUUUAUCUCUCUAUCUGUUUCACUUCAUCUAGCCUCUUCCACCACUUCUCUCUAUCUGUUUCGCUUCAUUUUUUUUUUGUAUCAUAACAAUUAGAUGCUUGUGAAUCACAACUUUAGUAUUAGGUUUUGUGUCCUCUUCUUCAACAUCGGCUCUUGAAGAUUUGUUCUGAAUCGGUGAGAAAGAGGUGAUGAUGAUAAUCAACAACAACUGAAAACCAAGAUUAAUCUACAAAAACUUAAUCGAAAGGCACUAAAGAAGUAGAAAGCUCCACCACCAUCAUCAAAGCCAUCUAAAUCUAAUAGUGAAGUGGUGCAAAGGAAAGCAAAAAGAGAAGGUUAACAACAUUCUGGUGUUUGAUAAACCUGGGAUUUAAUUUGUGAUUUUGUGUUUUUAAUGACUUGGGAACUCAUGGAACAAAAGUUAUUAUCUACAAUAUUUGGUUCACUGACGAUGGGGAAAUGGAGCUCAAUUUUGAAUCAUAUGUAAAGGAUAUCCAACUAGGUGGAGCCCCAGAAAUGUCCAAGAAAACUACUUUACAAGCUCUAUGCCAACAACAUCUGGCCAACAAGCUUCACUAUUCUCUUCGUGAGUACUUAUCCAUCUUACACCUGAGGUUACCCGAGCAUUUUAGAAUAAUAUUUCUUGGAAAAGUCGUUCGGCGGCACAAACCUAAUAGUGGUCCAAAUUCAGAGGUCCAUUUCAUCUUUGGUUUCAUGUUUACUUUCUUUGCUGCUACGCGGUGGUCUCUUUUCAUAGUACGUUCUUUGUUUUUGUUUAUACACUCAGACUCAGGGUGCAGUAGUAACUACAAUUGGGUUCCUAAAGGAUGCUCCUAAGAUAAAUAUCCCUGGAUUCUUCAUUUACCACAAGAACAGGCUAAUAAUGCCGUUUUUGGAUGUUGUCAGUCGGGAUGAGGUGUAGCAGGUACUUUGGAGGUUAAUUUCAUAACAAGCAAAAUUUUGGGAGGACUACAAUUUUUCAAAUCCUUGAAACCCGCUUGAAAGGAAUGACAUUGGAGUAUCGGACACCAAUUUGGAAAAGGAUUCAUUAGCAUUAAUGGGUCGUGUAGAUUUGCGAUAAUCCUUUUCCAUCCCAUUUCAGUUCUCUAGCUUGGUUUGGGCGUCUAAUAUUAGGUAUUGUUCUUAAAGUUGUUUCAUGUUGUAUGUUUUCAUUAAGGUCCAUGAUAGCGUGCAAAUUCGUUGCAAUGGUAUUACCUGAAAGUUGCCUGGCGUGGUCUUGCCCAUUUAACACCCUCCAAAAAUGGUGGAGGCUCUUAACAAUAUGAACAAGCUUUUUCUACAAGGAAGAACUAUCACUUGUUUUACUGUUCGAAUGUGAACUCCAUUUGCUCUUUUCAGUGUCUGUGGAAUUAAAGUUUGAUCGUAUGAAUGGUAAUAGAUGAAGCUAUGAACCUCUCUACGAGUGUCAACUGGCAAGUUUGCUGGCUCAGGGAUGGAGUAAUGGACCUGAUUCGAGCUAGUUUUUCAAAAGAUGAAGUCUUAGAUGGUGAUGUCUAUGUUUUGAAACUUUAUGGUUGUAAAUCUUGUAAUAGGAACAUAGUUCAAGGUUUUCCAACUUAAUGUUAGAUUUUUUUCUGACUUGGAACUCGUAGUAUUUAGUUGAAAUUGUAGACUUAAUUCACUUUUCAAUACGUAUUGAGCUUUAAAGGCGUUAUCAAUUUAAUUUUGUGAAAUUCGGUUUUGAA